rnacentral:rRNA from 1 species
AGCAGCCGCGGUAAUUCCAGCUCCAAUAGCGUAUAUUAAAGUUGUUGCAGUUAAAAAGCUCGUAGUUGAAUUUCGGGGUCAGUAGGCUGGUCGUGCCACAGGUAUGUACUGGUCUUACUGAUUCCUCCUUCCUGAUGAACCGUAAUGCCAUUAAUUUGGUGUUGCGGGGAAACUGGACUGUUACUUUGAAAAAAUUAGAGUGUUUAAAGCAGGCUAACGCUUGAAUACAUUAGCAUGGAAUAAUGAAAUAGGACGUUCGAUCCUAUUUUGUUGGUUUCUAGGAUUGACGUAAUGAUUAAUAGGGAUAGUUGGGGGCAUUAGUAUUCAAUUGUCAGAGGUGAAAUUCUUGGAUUUAUUGAAGACUAACUACUGCGAAAGCAUUUGCCAAGGAUGUUUUCAUUAAUCAAGAACGAAAGUUAGGGGAUCGAAGACGAUCAGAUACCGUCGUAGUCUUAACCAUAAACUAUGCCGACUAGGGAUCGGAUGAUGUUAAUUUUUAAUGACUCAUUCGGCGCCUUAC